rnacentral:rRNA from 1 species
GGACCCGCACAAGCGGUGGAUGAUGUGGAUUAAUUCGAUGCAACGCGAAAAACCUUACCUACCCUUGACAUGGUCGGAAUCCUGAAGAGAUUUGGGAGUGCUCGAAAGAGAACCGGCGCACAGGUGCUGCAUGGCUGUCGUCAGCUCGUGUCGUGAGAUGUUGGGUUAAGUCCCGCAACGAGCGCAACCCUUGUCAUUAGUUGCUACGAAAGGGCACUCUAAUGAGACUGCCGGUGACAAACCGGAGGAAGGUGGGGAUGACGUCAAGUCCUCAUGGCCCUUAUGGGUAGGGCUUCACACGUCAUACAAUGGUACAUACAGAGGGCUGCCAACCCGCGAGGGGGAGCUAAUCCCAGAAAGUGUAUCGUAGUCCGGAUUGCAGUCUGCAACUCGACUGCAUGAAGUUGGAAUCGCUAGUAAUCGCGGAUCAGCAUGUCGCGGUGAAUACGUUCCCGGGUCUU